rnacentral:misc_RNA from 1 species
GAUGAAGAACGUAGCGAAAUGCGAUAAGUAGUGUGAAUUGCAGAAUUCCGUGAAUCAUCGAAUCUUUGAACGCACAUUGCGUCUUCUGGUAUUCCGGAAGGCAUGCCUGUUCGAGAGUCAUUAACAACCGUUUCGAUCCCUUUCUUUCAGAAAUUACAAAGAGGAAAAGGGUUUGGUUAUGGUGGAGGAGGGAAAGGGAGCGUUUAGCCUGUAAAAAAAGAGGCUGUGUUCCGCCUCCCCCCCAAAAUUGUACAGGCGGUCGUGUGCGCCCACGCAUCGAGGUGUUGUAAAAGCUGCCACGGCACUUUUCACCUGUGCACUGCGAGAUUGGCCAGCCGGUUUAAAAACCCCUCCAAACAAUCAAAGGUUGACCUCGGAUCAGGUAGGGAUACCCGCUGAACUUAAGCAUAUCAAUAAGCGGAGGA